AUCAUACAAGAGAAAGAAAUAAAGGGCAUCCAAAUUGGAAAAGAAGUCACACUAUCUCUGUUUGCUGAUGAUAUGUUUGUAUAUCUUAGACAA